AGGUAAGCUACUAAGAGCGAAUGGUGGAUGCCUUGACUGGUAAAGGCGAUGAAGGACGUACUAGACUGCGAUAAGCUACGGGGAGCUGUCAAGAAGCUUUGAUCCGUAGAUUUCCGAAUGGGGCAACCCAAUGUAUAGAGAUAUACAUUACCUAUAUAGGAGCGAACGAGGGGAAUUGAAACAUCUUAGUACCCUCAGGAAAAGAAAUCAAUAGAGAUUGCGUCAGUAGCGGCGAGCGAAAGCGCAAGAGGGCAAACCCAGUGCUUGCACUGGGGGUUGUAGGACUGCAAUGUGCAAGAGGUAAGUUUAGCAGAACAUUCUGGAAAGUAUAGCCAUAGAGGGUGAUAGUCCCGUAUGCGAAAAACAAACCUUAGCUAGCAGUAUCCUGAGUAGGGCGGGACACGAGGAAUCCUGUCUGAAUCCGGGUCGACCACGAUCCAACCCUAAAUACUAAUACCAGAUCGAUAGUGCACAAGUACCGUGAGGGAAAGGUGAAAAGAACUGAGGUGAUCAGAGUGAAAUAGAACCUGAAACCAUUUGCUUACAAUCAUUCAGAGCCCUAUGUAGCAAUACAGGGUGAUGGACUGCCUUUUGCAUAAUGAGCCUGCGAGUUGUGGUGUCUGGCAAGGUUAAGCAAACGCGAAGCCGUAGCGAAAGCGAGUCUGAAUAGGGCGCUUAGUCAGAUGCUGCAGACCCGAAACGAAGUGAUCUAUCCAUGAGCAAGUUGAAGCUAGUGUAAGAACUAGUGGAGGACUGAACCCAUAGGCGUUGAAAAGCCCCGGGAUGACUUGUGGAUAGGGGUGAAAGGCCAAUCAAACUUCGUGAUAGCUGGUUCUCUCCGAAAUAUAUUUAGGUAUAGCGUUGUGUCGUAAUAUAAGGGGGUAGAGCACUGAAUGGGCUAGGGCAUACACCAAUGUACCAAACCCUAUCAAACUCCGAAUACCUUAUAUGUAAUCACAGCAGUCAGGCGGCGAGUGAUAAAAUCCGUCGUCAAGAGGGAAACAACCCAGACUACCAGCUAAGGUCCCUAAGUCUUACUUAAGUGGAAAACGAUGUGAAGUUACUUAAACAACCAGGAGGUUGGCUUAGAAGCAGCCAUCCUUUAAAGAAAGCGUAAUAGCUCACUGGUCUAGUGAUUUUGCGCGGAAAAUAUAACGGGGCUAAAGUAAGUACCGAAGCUGUAGACUUAGUUUACUAAGUGGUAGGAGAGCGUUCUAUUUGCGUCGAAGGUAUACCGGUAAGGAGUGCUGGAGCGAAUAGAAGUGAGCAUGCAGGCAUGAGUAGCGAUAAUUAAUGUGAGAAUCAUUAACGCCGUAAACCCAAGGUUUCCUACGCGAUGCUCGUCAUCGUAGGGUUAGUCGGGUCCUAAGUCGAGUCCGAAAGGGGUAGACGAUGGCAAAUUGGUUAAUAUUCCAAUACCAA
rnacentral:rRNA from 1 species